CCUACGGGUGGCUGCAGUGGGGGAUAUUGCACAAUGGGGGGAACCCUGAUGCAGCGACGCCGCGUGGGUGAAGAAGCGCCUCGGCGCGUAAAGCCCUGUCAGCAGGGAAGAAAAUGACGGUACCUGAAGAAGAAGCCCCGGCUAACUACGUGCCAGCAGCCGCGGGAAGACGUAGGGGGACAGCGUUAUCCGGAUUUACUGGGUGUAAAGGGGGCGCAGACGGGGAUGCAAGCUAGGUGUGAAAGCCCGGGGGCCAACCCCGGGACUGCUCUUGGAACUGCGUGGCUUGAGUGCAGGAGGGGCAUGCGGAAUUCCUGGUGUAGCGGUGAAAUGCGUAGAUAUCAGGAGGAACUCCGGUGGCGAAGGCAGCCUGCUGGAGUGCAACUGACGUUGAGGCCCGAAAGCGUGGGGAGCAAACAGGAUUAGAUACCCUGGUAGUC
rnacentral:rRNA from 1 species